CCUACGGGAGGCAGCAGUGGGGGAUAUUGCACAAUGGGGGAAACCCUGAUGCAGCGACGCCGCGUGUGGGAAGACGGUCCUCUGGAUUGUAAACCACUGUCCCCAGGGACGAAGAUGACGGUACCUGGGGAGGAAGCUCCGGCUAACUACGUGCCAGCAGCCGCGGUACUACGUAGGGCGCAAGCGUUGUACGGAAUUACUUGGGGAAAGGGGAACGUAGGCGGGAUGGAAAGUUGGGUGUUAAAUCUACCGGCUCAACUGGUCGGCGCACUCAAAACUGCUCUUCUUGAGUGAAGUAGAGGCAGGCGGAAUUCCCAGUGUAGCGGUGAAAUGCGGAGAUAUUAGGAGGAAAACCAGUGGCGAAAGCGGCCUGCUGGGCUUUUACUGACGCUGAGGCUCGAAAGUGUGGGGAGCAAACAGGAUUAGAUACCCCAGUAGUC
rnacentral:rRNA from 1 species